rnacentral:rRNA from 1 species
UGGCGGACGGGUGAGUAACGCGUGGGCAACCUGCCCCAUACAGGGGGAUAACAGUUAGAAAUGACUGCUAACACCGCAUAAGCGCACAGGGCCGCAUGGCCCGGUGUGAAAAACUCCGGUGGUAUGGGAUGGGCCCGCGUCUGAUUAGCCAGUUGGCGGGGUAACGGCCCACCAAAGCGACGAUCAGUAGCCGACCUGAGAGGGUGACCGGCCACAUUGGGACUGAGACACGGCCCAAACUCCUACGGGAGGCAGCAG